rnacentral:rRNA from 1 species
AACGAACGCUGGCGGCAUGCCUAACACAUGCAAGUCGAACGAACCCUUCGGGGUUAGUGGCGCACGGGUGCGUAACGCGUGGGGAUCUGCCCUUUGCUUCGGAAUAACAGUUAGAAAUGACUGCUAAUACCGGAUGAUGUCGAAAGACCAAAGAUUUAUCGGCAAAGGAUGAACCCGCGUAGGAUUAGCUAGUUGGUAGGGUAAAGGCCUACCAAGGCGACGAUCCUUAGCUGGUCUGAGAGGAUGAUCAGCCACACUGGGACUGAGACACGGCCCAGACUCCUACGGGAGGCAGCAGUGGGAAUAUUGGACAAUGGGCGAAAGCCUGAUCCAGCAAUACCGCGUGAGUGAUGAAGGCC